rnacentral:rRNA from 1 species
UACGUAGGGUGCAAGCGUUGUCCGGAAUUAUUGGGCGUAAAGAGCUCGUAGGCGGUCUGUCGCGUCUGCUGUGAAAACUCAGGGCUUAACCCUGAGCUUGCAGUGGGUACGGGCAGACUAGAGUGCGGUAGGGGAGACUGGAAUUCCUGGUGUAGCGGUGAAAUGCGUAGAUAUCUGGAGGAACACCGGUGGCGAAGGCGGCAUCCUGGACCGGUAUUGACGCUGAGGCGCGAAAGCCAGGGGAGCAAACGGG